UACGGAGGAUGCGAGCGUUAUCCGGAUUUAUUGGGUUUAAAGGGGGCGCAGGCUGCGAGGCAAGUCAGCGGUCAAAUGUCGGGGCUCAACCCCGGCCUGCCGUUGAAACUGUCUUGCUAGAGUUCGAGUGAGGUAUGCGGAAUGCGUUGUGUAGCGGUGAAAUGCAUAGAUAUGACGCAGAACUCCGAUUGCGAAGGCAGCAUACCAACUCGCGACUGACGCUGAGGCUCGAAAGCGUGGGUAUCGAACAGG
rnacentral:rRNA from 1 species